CAGCUCGGUGGUAUCGUAUGCAAAUACGCAUGCUGACGUUACAGAUCAUGUGGGUUUUGGCGUAGAUUCCCCACUGAUCGGCAUUUUCCCCUCUUUUUCUUUCUUUUUUCUCUUUUUGCUUUUUCUUUUUAAAUUUUGGCCGCCGUCCUCGGAGCGGGCCUCUCUGCCCGAGCCCGGCACGCUGGCUGUCCCUCCGUUUCCCACGGAGCCCCGCGGGCGCCGGCCGGGGAGCGGGCCGAGGGUGGGGGAGCCAGCAGAGUUCCAUUUUGGAAGCCCGCGCUCGUCUCCGCGCGCCCAGCCCGGGUCCCCGCGUCCGCGCGCCCCCAGCCCCGGCGCCGCAGGCCGACUCUCUGGGAAGCCUCCCACACCCGACCGCCUAGGCGUCAGCGCCUUUAGAGGACGACCCCAAGUGAGGGCCGGCAUCCUCUGCCUGACCCGAAGUUCCUCUGCCCUCACCUUCGCUCUGACUGGAAAUCGUGGCUCUUCCGUGGCCCCAGCACAUCCUCAGUCCGACCACCCCCUUCCAGACCACCCUGUGCCAACCAGGGAUCCCUGGACUUUCGCAGUCCCCCACGACACUGCAUCCAGGGACUUCUCUCUCAGGUACAUCCCCUGUCCUUC
rnacentral:lncRNA from 1 species